UACGUAGGGUGCGAGCGUUUAAUCGGAAUUACUGGGCGUAAAGCGUGCGCAGGCGGUUUUGUAAGCCAGAUGUGAAAUCCCCGGGCUUAACCUGGGAAUGGCAUUUGGGACUGCAAGGCUUGAGUGCGGCAGAGGAGACUGGAAUUCCUGGUGUAGCAGUGAAAUGCGUAGAUAUCAGGAGGAACACCGAUGGCGAAGGCAGGUCUCUGGGCUGACACUGACGCUCAUGCACGAAAGCGUGGGGAGCAAACAGG
rnacentral:rRNA from 1 species